GGAAGUUCCCAUGAACUCGUGGAACAGUUCUUUCUCCACCGCGAUGAGGUUUUGCACUCUCUCAAAGCCAACUUGUUGCGUGCUCAAGGUCGUAUGAAGAAAUUUGCUGAUCAGAAACGCACACAUGUUACUUUGGAGGCUGGUGAUUGGGCUUAUGUCAAAUUACAACCUUACAAACAACAUUCCUUACGCUUACAUAAACACCACAAGCUGGAUAGAAAGUAUUUUGGACCCUUCAAAGUAUUGCGGCGCAUCGGUUCAGUGGCUUACAAAUUAGAAUUACCAGUGGCUGCGUCUAUUCAUCCGGUCUUUCACAUUUCGUUGCUCAAAAAGUGCAUAGGUUUGCCUGAAC
rnacentral:misc_RNA from 1 species